UUAAAUUGAAGAGUUUGAUCAUGGCUCAGAUUGAACGCUGGCGGCAGGCCUAACACAUGCAAGUCGAACGGUAACAGGAAGCAGCUUGCUGCUUCGCUGACGAGUGGCGGACGGGUGAGUAAUGUCUGGGAAACUGCCUGAUGGAGGGGGAUAACUACUGGAAACGGUGGCUAAUACCGCAUAACGUCGCAAGACCAAAGAGGGGGACCUUCGGGCCUCUUGCCAUCAGAUGUGCCCAGAUGGGAUUAGCUAGUUGGUGAGGUAACGGCUCACCAAGGCGACGAUCCCUAGCUGGUCUGAGAGGAUGACCAGCCACACGUGGAACUGAGACACGGUCCAGACUC
rnacentral:rRNA from 1 species